rnacentral:rRNA from 1 species
GGUUAAGCGACUAAGCGUACACGGUGGAUGCCCUGGCAGUCAGAGGCGAUGAAGGGCGUGCUAAUCUGCGAUAAGCGCCGGUAAGGUGAUAUGAACCGUUAUAACCGGCGAUACCCGAAUGGGGAAACCCAGUGUGAUUCGUCACACUAUCAUUAACUGAAUCCAUAGGUUAAUGAGGCGAACCGGGGGAACUGAAACAUCUAAGUACCCCGAGGAAAAGAAAUCAACCGAGAUUCCCCCAGUAGCGGCGAGCGAACGGGGAGGAGCCCAGAGCCUGAAUCAGCAUGUGUGUUAGUGGAAGCGUCUGGAAAGGNGCGCGAUACAGGGUGACAGCCCCGUACACAAAAGCGCAUGUGCUGUGAGCUCGAUGAGUAGGGCGGGACACGUGGUAUCCUGUCUGAAUAUGGGGGGACCAUCCUCCAAGGCUAAAUACUCCUGACUGACCGAUAGUGAACCAGUACCGUGAGGGAAAGGCGAAAAGAACCCCGGCGAGGGGAGUGAAAAAGAACCUGAAACCGUGUACGUACAAGCAGUGGGAGCACAGGUUUACCUGUGUGACUGCGUACCUUUUGUAUAAUGGGUCAGCGACUUAUAUUCUGUAGCAAGGUUAACCGUAUAGGGGAGNNNNNNNNNNNNNNNNNNNNNNNNNNNNNNNNAGUUGCAGGGUAUAGACCCGAAACCCGGUGAUCUAGCCAUGGGCAGGUUGAAGGUUGGGUAACACUAACUGGAGGACCGAACCGACUAAUGUUGAAAAAUUAGCGGAUGACCUGUGGCUGGGGGUGAAAGGCCAAUCAAACCGGGAGAUAGCUGGUUCUCCCCGAAAGCUAUUUAGGUAGCGCCUCGUGAAUUCAUCUCCGGGGGUAGAGCACUGUUUCGGCUAGGGGGCCAUCCCGGCUUACCAACCCGAUGCAAACUGCGAAUACCGGAGAAUGUUAUCACGGGAGACACACGGCGGGUGCUAACGUCCGUCGUGAAGAGGGAAACAACCCAGACCGCCAGCUAAGGUCCCAAAGUCAUGGUUAAGUGGGAAACGAUGUGGGAAGGCCCAGACAGCCAGGAUGUUGGCUUAGAAGCAGCCAUCAUUUAAAGAAAGCGUAAUAGCUCACUGGUCGAGUCGGCCUGCGCGGAAGAUGUAACGGGGCUAAACCAUGCACCGAAGCUGCGGCAGCGAACGUAUCACCCAAGACAACUUUACGGAGUUGACGAUUGACGGAGCGAAGCGACGUCAAAGCGUUCAUUAAAGUCGAGUUGGCUUAGGGAUACGUUCGUUGGGUAGGGGAGCGUUCUGUAAGCCUGUGAAGGUGUGUCGUGAGGCAUGCUGGAGGUAUCAGAAGUGCGAAUGCUGACAUAAGUAACGAUAAAGCGGGUGAAAAGCCCGCUCGCCGGAAGACCAAGGGUUCCUGUCCAACGUUAAUCGGGGCAGGGUGAGUCGACCCCUAAGGCGAGGCCGAAAGGCGUAGUCGAUGGGAAACGGGUUAAUAUUCCCGUACUUGGUGUUACUGCGAAGGGGGGACGGAGAAGGCUAUGUUGGCCGGGCGACGGUUGUCCCGGUUUAAGCGUGUAGGUGUGUGUUCCAGGUAAAUCCGGUUCACUUUAACACUGAGGCGUGACGACGAGGCACUACGGUGCUGAAGCAACAAAUGCCCUGCUUCCAGGAAAAGCCUCUAAGCAUCAGGUAACACGAAAUCGUACCCCAAACCGACACAGGUGGUCAGGUAGAGAAUACCAAGGCGCUUGAGAGAACUCGGGUGAAGGAACUAGGCAAAAUGGUGCCGUAACUUCGGGAGAAGGCACGCUGACACGUAGGUGAAGUGAUUUACUCAUGGAGCUGAAGUCAGUCGAAGAUACCAGCUGGCUGCAACUGUUUAUUAAAAACACAGCACUGUGCAAACACGAAAGUGGACGUAUACGGUGUGACGCCUGCCCGGUGCCGGAAGGUUAAUUGAUGGGGUCAGCGCAAGCGAAGCUCCUGAUCGAAGCCCCGGUAAACGGCGGCCGUAACUAUAACGGUCCUAAGGUAGCGAAAUUCCUUGUCGGGUAAGUUCCGACCUGCACGAAUGGCGUAAUGAUGGCCAGGCUGUCUCCACCCGAGACUCAGUGAAAUUGAACUCGCUGUGAAGAUGCAGUGUACCCGCGGCAAGACGGAAAGACCCCGUGAACCUUUACUAUAGCUUGACACUGAACAUUGAGCCUUGAUGUGUAGGAUAGGUGGGAGGCUUUGAAGUGUGGACGCCAGUCUGCAUGGAGCCGACCUUGAAAUACCACCCUUUAAUGUUUGAUGUUCUAACGUGGACCCGUAAUCCGGGUUGCGGACAGUGUCUGGUGGGUAGUUUGACUGGGGCGGUCUCCUCCUAAAGAGUAACGGAGGAGCACGAAGGUUGGCUAAUCCUGGUCGGACAUCAGGAGGUUAGUGCAAUGGCAUAAGCCAGCUUGACUGCGAGCGUGACGGCGCGAGCAGGUGCGAAAGCAGGUCAUAGUGAUCCGGUGGUUCUGAAUGGAAGGGCCAUCGCUCAACGGAUAAAAGGUACUCCGGGGAUAACAGGCUGAUACCGCCCAAGAGUUCAUAUCGACGGCGGUGUUUGGCACCUCGAUGUCGGCUCAUCACAUCCUGGGGCUGAAGUAGGUCCCAAGGGUAUGGCUGUUCGCCAUUUAAAGUGGUACGCGAGCUGGGUUUAGAACGUCGUGAGACAGUUCGGUCCCUAUCUGCCGUGGGCGCUGGAGAACUGAGGGGGGCUGCUCCUAGUACGAGAGGACCGGAGUGGACGCAUCACUGGUGUUCGGGUUGUCAUGCCAAUGGCACUGCCCGGUAGCUAAAUGCGGAAGAGAUAAGUGCUGAAAGCAUCUAAGCACGAAACUUGCCCCGAGAUGAGUUCUCCCUGAGACUUAGAGUCUCCUGAAGGAACGUUGAAGACGACGACGUUGAUAGGCCGGGUGUGUAAGCGCAGCGAUGCGUUGAGCUAACCGGUACUAAUGAACCGUGAGGCUUAACCUU